rnacentral:rRNA from 1 species
UAUACUGCAAGUCGAGCGGACCGACGGGAGCUUGCUCCCUUAGGUCAGCGGCGGACGGGUGAGUAACACGUGGGUAACCUGCCUGUAAGACUGGGAUAACUCCGGGAAACCGGGGCUAAUACCGGAUGCUUGAUUGAACCGCAUGGUUCAAUCAUGAAAGGCGGCUUCGGCUGCCGUUUACAGAUGGACCCGCGGCGCAUUAGCUAGUUGGUGAGGUAACGGCUCACCAAGGCGACGAUGCGUAGCCGACCUGAGAGGGUGAUCGGCCACACUGGGACUGAGACACGGCCCAGACUCCUACGGGAGGCAGCAGUAGGGAAUCUUCCGCAAUGGACGAAAGUCUGACGGAGCAACGCCGCGUGAGUGAUGAAGGUUUUCGGAUCGUAAAGCUCUGUUGUUAGGGAAGAACAAGUACCGUUCGAAUAGGGCGGUACCUUGACGGUACCUAACCAGAAAGCCACGGCUAACUACGUGCCAGCAGCCGCGGUAAUACGUAGGUGGCAAGCGUUGUCCGGAAUUAUUGGGCGUAGAGCGCGCGCAGGCGGUUUCUUAAGUCUGAUGUGAAAGCCCCCGGC